rnacentral:rRNA from 1 species
GAUGAACGCUGGCGGCGUGCCUAAUACAUGCAAGUCGAGCGAACAGACGAGGAGCUUGCUCCUCUGACGUUAGCGGCGGACGGGUGAGUAACACGUGGAUAACCUACCUAUAAGACUGGGAUAACUUCGGGAAACCGGAGCUAAUACCGGAUAAUAUAUUGAACCGCAUGGUUCAAUAGUGAAAGACGGUUUUGCUGUCACUUAUAGAUGGAUCCGCGCCGCAUUAGCUAGUUGGUAAGGUAACGGCUUACCAAGGCGACGAUGCGUAGCCGACCUGAGAGGGUGAUCGGCCACACUGGAACUGAGACACGGUCCAGACUCCUACGGGAGGCAGCAGUAGGGAAUCUUCCGCAAUGGGCGAAAGCCUGACGGAGCAACGCCGCGGGAGUGAUGAAGGUCUGCGGAUCGUAAAACUCUGUUAGUAGGGAAGAACAAAUGUGUAAGUAACUAUGCACGUCUUGACGGUACCUAAUCAGAAAGCCACGGCUAACUAC